rnacentral:rRNA from 1 species
GCUUAGCCGUAAACUUGAAUACUUAAACUAACAAAAUUAUUUGCCAGAGAACUACUAGCUACAGCUUAAAACUCAAAGGACUUGGCGGUACUUUAUAUCCAUCUAGAGGAGCCUGUUCUAUAAUCGAUAAACCCCGCUCUACCUCACCAUCUCUUGCUAAUUCAGCCUAUAUACCGCCAUCUUCAGCAAACCCUAAAAAGGAGAUAUAGUAAGCACAAGAAUAUCCAUAAAAACGUUAGGUCAAGGUGUAGCCAAUGAGGUGGGAAGUAAUGGGCUACAUUUUCUUUUAAAAGAACAUUACGAUAUCCUUUAUGAAACUAAAGGACUAAGGA